AAAAGGAUGACUAUAAUAAAAAGGAUCAUUGGGUUACAGUUAAUUUGAUUUUAAUCAAAAGCAGGCAAAUAAAUCGAAACAGUUUUAAGUAAUAAAAUUCAAUCAAAAUUCACAUUAAUUUUUAAUAAUUCUUCCCAAACGGAAACUUGAAUCAACAUCGCUUUGCUGCCAAUGGGAACCCACAAAAGUAUUUAUAAACAAAAUCUAUGGAGUUUCUAAAUAAGCUUAGCAUGGAGCACUGCUACUCUGUGAUUGAUGUGAAGUAGAAGAAACACACACACACAAUGCAUCUUCUACAGCUAUAUCUGAAUUUGUCCAGAUAACAGCCGAUUUUACUGUUGGAAUUAUCAAUAUGGGAAGAAAGCAAACAUUCAGCUGCAAUCCUCAAUAGCUGGGGCAUACUGAUACCUGUCAUCAAAGAAAAUAAUAAGAAACCCUUGGAAGUUGGAACUUUCAGAUACCUUCCUAUUUUAACAUUGAUAAUGGGCAAACAAUAUUACUGAAAGCAUGAUCCAAUUCAUGCUACACUACUGAAUGUGAUAUAUUUCGGACUUUCUUAUAUUUAGCAAAUCCAUCACACAGCUCAGUAUCAGUCUAGCACCAGGCAUAAAUAGGGAGGCUAUUGUAAUUUGUAAGGUAAUAGUUUGCCCUCGAGCACCCUAUCAGAAAAUGAAGUCAUUAAGCUGAAUAUGUUUGUUAUUCUCUGCAUUCUUAUUAACGAUAUAUGCUCCAUCCUCUAUGUCAGCAUUCAAGCAAUUCAUCCUAUGCCAUUCAAAGUGAUCUUCACAGCAAACAGAACCCCAGAUCAUUGAUAAUCCAGCUCCUUUCCAAGUUGCAGUAUGCAUAUCAUAGAACUUGUCAAAAGCUUUAUCAAAACAGUAAUGGCAAGCCAUAAGUUCCCUGAUGUUGGUCACCCUGCAUGUUGAUUUGCAGCAUUUCACCUGCAGGGGUUAUAUGUGACAUUAUUAACUACAAUGUGUUUUUGUAUGUUUGUUUCUUAUUCAUUUUUAAUGAAUCAUUGACACACUGUGUCCAAGUGAAAUGCAACUAAUAAUGCACCCCUUUACACAACAAGGGCUCACCUAACUUGGGAAAUGUUAUCAAAAUUGAAAAGAUCAUCAGUUGUAUAAUACGCAAGGCAGUAUCUACAUGCUAUACAUAUUUCUGCAUUAUGCUUUAUUUGGACCUUCGACCAUGGAGCAGGGGCAGAAAAUAUAACUUCUCAUGUUAUAAAGACAUGAGGUAAAACUCAAAUGAGUAUAGCAAUGCAGCACUUGAAUGUUACAAGCAGAAAUUAGAUUUUAUACUAAUCACAAGUACAUAUUAGAAUCUUCAGCUUAGCUAAAUAUAUCUCAUCAAAGUAAUGGAUCUUUGAGAGAAUAAAACAAGCCCUUAGUCAGGGUACUAUUCAAAAUCAAUAUUAGGUUUCUAUAUUGCUGACCUCAAAAACUUUAAAAUUAUCAAAACCAGCCCAGAUCGUCUUGUGUCUAAUGAUUAUAUACACAAUGCAAAUCAAGUCACUAGCAAAGAAUUACAAGUAAUAUGAACCUAAAUAUAGAGUGAACGGUAGUUAAAGAUAUAUUUACCAAACGUUUAAGUUUAUGAGAGUAAUAUUGCCGAUGGCUUGGAUGUGUCCUUAUAUGCUCAUCCAAAUGACCAGCACUGAAAUGGAAGCCAAUAUAAGCCCAGUCUAUAAAUAACAUCAAACCAUAUUAAUUUUGCUAGGCAAAGCAAAGAAUCAACUGCUUAUCAUAUAACAUAACAAUCAUGUUGCCUUCUAUCAAGCUCAAGCAGUAUAACAUCCAUCCUUUCCCUGGAAUAUAUAUAUACAUGCUUUCACCGCGCUUUCAUAGCUCAAACAAACAAGAAAACAUAUUGAUCAACUUCUUUACAUCAAAUACUAUAAACACCCAUCACCUUUCCCAUUCAUUAACAGCUAAGGCACACAACUAAUAUAAUGGCAAAUAUCCUACAGUUCCACUAACUGAAAAUGCGUUCUUAAUUGACUUAUGGAAUUAACUACCAGCCAUCAAUCACUCAGAAGAAUCUGAUACUAUAUUGUGCAAAUUACUUGACAUCCAAAUUAUACAAAUAACGUAGAGCAACUAGAGAGAGAGAAAAUAAAAGAAGAAGGGGUUGGCGGAGGGGGGGCCGUGGCGCCUGUUGAGACCAUGAAAAGCAGAAAUGAUAGGAGAACAACAGAAUAUAAUCCCAAAUUAAGAAAUCUAACAAUAGCUGAUAAUGAGAUACAAGUUGUGCUUACUUGUCACAAAGGACUGCACUACAAUGAAGGCAUGUUGCCAAACUUAAAGAACUGCGGCAUACAUUGCAGUUUGCUGCUGACAAAUUUUUACCUAUCUGAUGACAUCUUCUGUAAAGUCCAAGAAGAUCUUUGCAUAUUGGAUUCUUGUUCUGCCCUUCUGACACCUGGUUACAUGUUGUCACCAAACAAUCUUCUGCAAGGUGACCAGGCCUCUGGCAUUUCCAACACUUGUAAGUACAAAGAUUAGAUCUCUUCUUGGACCAGCAAUUGUGGUUAUAAUCCCAAGUGUCCUCCCCAAGCUCAGGCAUUGAUGACGUACAUUUAGGUCCAGAAGAAGGAUGAUCUAGCUUUUGGUUGCUUAACUCACGCUUAGCAAGUUUAAGCCUUUGUAGAAGUUCAGCUUUGCAUUCUAGACUGCAGAUAUCAUCAUCAGUCUCAUUGCAUAUAUAUUCUCCAUAUUUUCCACAUACCACACAAACAGGUUCUGCUGGGGCAGGAAACCGUUGCUCACUUCUAGUCUUGAUCUCUUCAACUUCAUUUGUGAGGCCAGAAUGUUGGGUGCCCUCCUCAUCAGAUUCUGAAGCACUUUCAUCGCCUGAGUUUUUAUGGACAAAAUAUGUCAAUAAUAGAUAUGCUCAACACUCUCUCCCUACUUCCAUAGUUUAACAAAUUUAAAACCGAACUAGAAGUUCCCAAAACAUCAGCAGUUAAUGGUUCGUAAGGAUGAGAUGACCUCACUUCCUUCCUUCUCUUAUCUAUGUAAUCCUGGUGAGUCAUCGGUCCAUCAUGCUCUUCGACUUCACCACGCUUAUAAGACCGUGGAUUUUCCGUCGAGCAGCGUUUCUGACCAGCCUUUUUGCAGCCGCGUCUAUCAUUCCCUUCAUCACGGUAUUGUUGCUCUUGGGUCACAAGGGCACUCCCAGUUGCGACGUUAUAAGCUUGGAGAUUUUGAAUAACAGAAGAGAGACUGAAGUCCUUUUUGUAAGAGAUUGAAGGAUUCUUGUAGAAAUUCGUCCUCGUCCCCAUUCUAUCUCUUCUAUUUUGGUGCGAAUGCGAUUACGAUUUCACAGUUCAGAGAGAGUGCCUUUGGAAAGAAAAGAGAAAACGGUGCGUUUGGUAAAGGGCGAGGGAGAGAACCACAAAC
rnacentral:misc_RNA from 1 species